AAUAAAAGAAAGAGGCCAACCAGAGGUCCUAAGAGUGUAUUUUUGUAUUACUUCUAACAAGUAUUUUUGGGAUAAAAGCAGUUUUUUUAGAAGAAAAAAAAUACUUCUCCUAUAAAAAAUUGACACAAGAAUAAUUUUUGAGAAGUUUGAAAAUUUUAUCCCGAAAAUGUUUUUUUUUUUUUCGGAAAGCACGAAUCAUUGCAGAACUAGCUUUAAAAAUGGACACAAUUGCCCUUAACUUUGAUUCGUUAGCACUGCUCUCAAAUUUAUCAACUUAUCCUAAAUCUCCUUUUCCACAGGUACGAACCCCAUUCAUAUCAUCCACCUGUCGACGUAUCUCUAAACCAAACUCCACAAUCUCGACGAUGGCUCACUCUCAUUCUGCCCAAAGCCCAGUGAUUGAGCAGCAGAGAAUGAUAAUUCCGAACAAGCAUGGUGAAAAACUGGUGGGAUUAUUGCAUGAAACCGAGUCUAAAGAGAUUGUAAUCUUAUGCCAUGGUUUCAAUUCCACAAAGGUCAGUUGGGUCAUUUCAUCUCUUUCACCUUGCUUUCUUUAGUAAAUAUAUAGUUGGUGUCAGCUAUACAACUCGAAGCUUUCCUACACUCGGUCUUUGAAUCUUUGUAACACAAGCAGGGGCGAAUCCAGAACAAAUUUUUAGGGGGGCAAAUGAAAAUUUAAUUUUUUAUAGUCUAUAA